GCUUGCUCAGGCAGCUUACACUGAAACUGGAAUGAUACAGGGAAGAUUAGUAUGACCUUUGUGCAAACAGGACACUCAAGUUCAGGAAGUGUUCCAUGUUAGA
ensembl:snRNA U6 U6 spliceosomal RNA